GAGAGUCGAAUUAAAGCCUGGGAUGAUCAAAUAAUGACCAAACAGAAGGAGCUGGAUCAUCUCACUGAUCUGGCAGCGAAUGCUUUUUCCACUGAGGAGCCACCAGACACUGUCUUUAAAGAACAACCCACAAUAGAACAAGAAGAACAAUCGGAGCAUCAGACGAAGGAGGACAGUGAUUCUUCCAUUAUUGACAUCUCAUCUAUUCAUCUCAA